UACGAAGGGGGCUAACGUUGCUCGGAAUGACUGGGCGUAAAGGGCGCGUAGGCGGAUGGCACAGUCAGAUGUGAAAUUCCCGGGCUUAACCUGGGGGCUGCAUUUGAUACGUGUUGUCUAGAGUGAGGAAGAGGGUUGUGGAAUUCCCAGUGUAGAGGUGAAAUUCGUAGAUAUUGGGAGGAACACCCGUAGCGAAGGCGGCACUCUGGGCCGGUACUGACGCUGAGGAGCGAAAGCGUGGGGAGCAAACAGG
rnacentral:rRNA from 1 species